AUACGGAGGGUGCAAGCGUUAAUCGGAAUUACUGGGCGUAAAGCGCGCGUAGGCGGCUUUGUAAGUCGGAUGUGAAAGCCCCGGGCUCAACCUGGGAAUUGCAUUCGAUACUGCAGAGCUAGAGUAUGGUAGAGGGAAGUGGAAUUUCCGGUGUAGCGGUGAAAUGCGUAGAUAUCGGAAGGAACACCAGUGGCGAAGGCGACUUCCUGGGCCAAUACUGACGCUGAGGUGCGAAAGCGUGGGGAGCAAACAGGAUUAGAAACCCCGGUAGUCC
rnacentral:rRNA from 1 species